GACGAACGCUGGCGGCGUGCCUAAUACAUGCAAGUAGAACGCUGAAGAGAGGAGCUUGCUCUUCUUGGAUGAGUUGCGAACGGGUGAGUAACGCGUAGGUAACCUGCCUUGUAGCGGGGGAUAACUAUUGGAAACGAUAGCUAAUACCGCAUAACAAUGGAUGACACAUGUCAUUUAUUUGAAAGGGGCAAUUGCUCCACUACAAGAUGGACCUGCGUUGUAUUAGCUAGUAGGUGAGGUAACGGCUCACCUAGGCGACGAUACAUAGCCGACCUGAGAGGGUGAUCGGCCACACUGGGACUGAGACACGGCCCAGACUCCUACGGGAGGCAGCAGUAGGGAAUCUUCGGCAAUGGGGGCAACCCUGACCGAGCAACGCCGCGUGAGUGAAGAAGGUUUUCGGAUCGUAAAGCUCUGUUGUAAGUCAAGAACGAGUGUGAGAGUGGAAAGUUCACACUGUGACGGUAGCUUACCAGAAAGGGACGGCUAACUACGUGCCAGCAGCCGCGGUAAUACGUAGGUCCCGAGCGUUGUCCGGAUUUAUUGGGCGUAAAGCGAGCGCAGGCGGUUUGAUAAGUCUGAAGUUAAAGGCUGUGGCUCAACCAUAGUUCGCUUUGGAAACUGUCAAACUUGAGUGCAGAAGGGGAGAGUGGAAUUCCAUGUGUAGCGGUGAAAUGCGUAGAUAUAUGGAGGAACACCGGUGGCGAAAGCGGCUCUCUGGUCUGUAACUGACGCUGAGGCUCGAAAGCGUGGGGAGCGAACAGGAUUAGAUACCCUGGUAGUCCACGCCGUAAACGAUGAGUGCUAGGUGUUGGAUCCUUUCCGGGAUUCAGUGCCGCAGCUAACGCAUUAAGCACUCCGCCUGGGGAGUACGACCGCAAGGUUGAAACUCAAAGGAAUUGACGGGGGCCCGCACAAGCGGUGGAGCAUGUGGUUUAAUUCGAAGCAACGCGAAGAACUUUACCAGGUCUUGACAUCCCGAUGCUAUUUCUAGAGAUAGAAAGUUACUUCGGUACAUCGGUGACAGGUGGUGCAUGGUUGUCGUCAGCUCGUGUCGUGAGAUGUUGGGUUAAGUCCCGCAACGAGCGCAACCCCUAUUGUUAGUUGCCAUCAUUCAGUUGGGCACUCUAGCGAGACUGCCGGUAAUAAACCGGAGGAAGGUGGGGAUGACGUCAAAUCAUCAUGCCCCUUAUGACCUGGGCUACACACGUGCUACAAUGGUUGGUACAACGAGUUGCGAGUCGGUGACGGCAAGCUAAUCUCUUAAAGCCAAUCUCAGUUCGGAUUGUAGGCUGCAACUCGCCUACAUGAAGUCGGAAUCGCUAGUAAUCGCGGAUCAGCACGCCGCGGUGAAUACGUUCCCGGGCCU
rnacentral:rRNA from 1 species